rnacentral:rRNA from 1 species
CGGUAAUUCCAGCUCCAAUAGCGUAUAUUAAAGUUGUUGUGGUUAAAAAGCUCGUAGUCGAACCUUGGGCCUGGCUGGCCGGUCCCCCUCACCGGGUGCACUGAUCCAGCCGGGCCUUUCCCUCUGUGGAACCCCAUGGCCUUCACUGGCUGUGCGGGGGAAACAGGACUUUUACUGUGAAAAAAUUAGAGUGCUCCAGGCAGGCCUAUGCUCGAAUACAUUAGCAUGGAAUAAUAGAAUAGGACGUGUGGUUCUAUUUUGUUGGUUUCUAGGACCGCCGUAAUGAUUAAUAGGGACAGUCGGGGGCAUCAGUAUUCAGUUGUCAGAGGUGAAAUUCUUGGAUCUACUGAAGACUAACUACUGCGAAAGCAUUUGCCAAGGAUGUUUUCAUUGAUAAGGAACGAAAGUUAGGGGAUCGAAGACGAUCAGAUACCGUCGUAGUCUUAACUAUAAACUAUGCCGACUAGGGAUCGGACGAUGUUAUUAUUUGACGCGUUCGGCACCUUUCGAGAAAUCAAAGUGCUUGGGCUCCAGGGGGAGUAUGGUCGCAAGGCUGAAACUUAAAGAAAUUGACGGAAGGGCACCACCAGGGGUGGAACCUGCGGCUUAAUUUGACUCAACACGGGGAAACUCACCAGGUCCAGACACAGUGAGGCUUGACAGAUUGAGAGCUCUUUCUUGAUUCUGUGGGUGGUGGUGCAUGGCCGUUCUUAGUUGGUGGAGUGAUUUGUCUGCUUAAUUGCGAUAACGAACGAGACCUUAACCUGCUAAAUAGCCCGUACUGCUCUG